UUAUAAUGCUUUUCUUAAUGGGGGAACCCUAAGGCUACUCACUCAGUCCAUUGAGGGGAUAAGAGAGAUGGCUCAUUCCCAUCCAGUUUUGUUUACAAACGAUGUUGCUCAAAUUUAGGUGACUGGCUACUAGGGAAAUAAAUGAAUGUGGAAUUGAGGAUGGAACAAAGAAUUCAAUGCUUUACAAUAAAUGGACUGUAUUUGAGAGUUCAAGAGAGGAUUGGAGAAAAUAACUGAGUAUGUAAAAAAUGGUGUCCGCAAAUAUGGUAAAGAUUUUCAAGCUAUUGCAGAUGUAAUUGGCAACAAGACUGUUGGCCAAGUGAAGAACUUCUUUGUAAACUACAGGCGUCGGUUUAACUUAGAGGAGGUAUUGCAGGAGUGGGAAGCAGAACAAGGAACCCAGGCUUCUAAUGGUGAUGCUUCUACUUUAGGGGAGGAGACAAAAAGUGCUUCUAAUGUGCCAUCAGGGAAGAGCACUGAUGAAGAAGAGGAGGCACAGACCCCACAGGCUCCUCGGACACUGGGUCCAUCACCUCCUGCCCCAUCAUCCACUCCAACACCAACAGCCCCUAUUGCCACUCUGAACCAGCCUCCACCACUUCUUCGUCCAACACUGCCUGCUGCCCCGGCUCUUCACCGGCAGCCUCCUCCACUCCAGCAGCAGGCUCGGUUCAUCCAGCCCCGGCCAACUUUAAAUCAGCCUCCACCACCUCUUAUUCGCCCUGCUAAUUCUAUGCCACCCCGUCUAAACCCAAGACCGGUGUUGUCCACGGUUGGUGGCCAACAGCCACCAUCACUUAUUGGAAUUCAGACAGAUUCACAGUCCUCACUGCACUAAAAAUUAAAUUGGACACAGCUGCAGUAACUUUUCACCCCAUCAUUAUACCAAUGCUCAUCUGACUGAUGAAA
rnacentral:sRNA from 1 species